rnacentral:rRNA from 1 species
AAGUGGGGGAUAACCCGGGGAAACCCGGAUUAAUCCCUCAUGAUUUCGAAAGAACAAAGCAGGGGAUCGCAAGACCUUGCGCUUUUGGAUGAGCCUACGUCGGAUUAGCUAGUUGGUGAGGUAAAGGCUCACCAAGGCGACGAUCCGUAACUGGUCUGAGAGGAUGAUCAGUCACACCGGAACUGAGACACGGUCCGGACUCCUACGGGAGGCAGCAGUGGGGAAUAUUGGACAAUGGGCGAAAGCCUGAUCCAGCAAUGCCGCGUGUGUGAAGAAGGCCUUCGGGUUGUAAAGCACUUUAAGUUGGGAAGAAAAAGCUUUGGCUAAUAUCCAAAGCCUUGACGGUACCGACAGAAUAAGCACCGGCUAACUCUGUGCCAGCAGCCGGGGUAAUACAGAGGGUGCUAGCGUUAAUCGGAUUUACUGGGCGUAAAGCGUGCGUAGGCGGUUUAUUAAGUCCAUUGUGAAAGCCCCGGGCUCAACCUGGGAAUUGCAGUGGAUACUGAUAGACUCGAGAACGGUAGAGGGAGGCGGAACUCCAGGUGUAGCGGUGAAAUGCGUAGAUAUCUGGAAGAACACCGAUGGCGAAGGCAACCUCCUGGGCCUGUUCUGACGCUGAGGCACGAAAGCGUGGGUAGCAAACAGGAUUAGAUACCCUGGUAGUCCACGCUGUAAACGAUGAGAACUU